GAACAAGCAAUCCCUGGUUACUGCAGAAUUAUGUUUAGCUGGGAUGGGUUCACGCCAGCUAAUUCCUCUGUUAUGGAAUCUCACCAACCACUGCUUGAACAAAUCCAAUGUCCGGUUUCUCAGAUGAAGUCCAUUGGCCCAGAUCAUUGAAAACAAUGACAUCCAUGCAUGAGAUGAAAGAACAAAAAUUUCUGGUGCUAUCUCUAAAGCUGAAAUACUUUCAUAUCUGCAACAACUCUGUUUUAGCAUCAGAUUAUAUAACUGCACAAAAGAAAUUUGUCACUGC
rnacentral:lncRNA from 1 species